rnacentral:rRNA from 1 species
CCUACGGGGAGCAGCAGUGAGGAAUAUUGGUCAAUGGACGAGAGUCUGAACCAGCCAAGUAGCGUGAAGGAUGACUGCCCUAUGGGUUGUAAACUUCUUUUAUAAAGGAAUAAAACGAGGCACGUGUGCCUUUUUGCAUGUAUCUUAUGAAUAAGGAUCGGCUAACUCCGUGCCAGCAGCCGCGGUAAUACGGAGGAUCCGAGCGUUAUCCGGAUUUAUUGGGUUUAAAGGGAGCGUAGAUGGGUUGUUAAGUUAGUUGUGAAAGUUUGCGGCUCAACCGUAAAAUUGCAAUUGAUACUGGCAGUCUAGAGUACAGUUGAGGUAGGCGGAAUUCGUGGUGUAGCGGUGAAAUGCUUAGAGAUCACGAAGAACACCGAUUGCGAAGGCAGCUUACUAAACUGUGACUGACAUUGAUGCUCGAAAGUGUGGGUAUCAAACAGGAUUAGAUACCCUUGUAGUC